GUCUUGUUUUUGUUUUUAUUGAUUUUAUUGUUGUUCGUUCCCUUUAUGUUCCUUUGCAUAACUGGCAUGUUUGCAUUAUGCCCAAAGGAGGAUGAACCUUUCUCCCCGUUGGAGGCGAGGGUAGAACACGUUCCACUGAUGAUUGUGGCGGCGGUCAUAUUUUUCUUCCUCGAUUUAAUAGAUAGGACUGAAAUGAAUCAAAAUAGGGUUAUUCUUCGUCGCUGAUGAUUUUUA
rnacentral:ribozyme from 13 species